UGGGUAACCUGCCUCAAAGAGGGGAAUAGCCUCCCGAAAGGGAGAUUAAUACCGCAUAAUAUGUUUAGGUCGCAUGACUUUAACAUCAAAGGAUUUUCUUUUAGAAAUUCCACUUUGAGAUGGACCCGCGGCGCAUUAGCUAGUUGGUGAGGUAACGGCUCACCAAGGCAACGAUGCGUAGCCGACCUGAGAGGGUGAUCGGCCACAUUGGAACUGAGACACGGUCCAGACUUCGUAGGAGG
rnacentral:rRNA from 1 species